UACAGCUCCUUGAUUAGACCCCUAGCCUGGGAACCUCCAUAUGCUGUGGGAAACGGCCCUAGAAAAGGCAAAAAGACAAAAACAGGGUGAAAAGCUCUAGGAAGCAGGGACAGAAUCUGACUACCCAGUUCUGUGGUUGUCCCACUGAGCCACCUGCCAGGAGACCAAGCAGCCUGAUAUGGGAUGGCCUUCCAGAUGCUUGCAGUCACCGUAGAUAGCCUUUGCUGUGUGGAGUUGCACACAACAAAAAUGGGGAUGCUUUAACUCAUUCCUAUCAAUCCUCCCACCUCCUUCCAGAUUGUUCGAAGUAUAGGUUUGGAAUCAGACUGAAUUGGAUUCUCAGCUAAAUCUAUCAGAGCUCUGGAUCAGUGUAGGUAACCUCCACUCUCUGGGCUCCUUCAUCCACCUCUGGACUGAAGACUGAAAAAAUCCUCUGGAGUUCAGAUGGUUCCAUUGUGAAUAUCAUCACCAUCACCAGGCUAAUGGAGAUGCUGGAUCGCCAGUCCUUACCUGGGGAAUUGAGGGCUGGUGAUAUCACUCUGAAACUGCCUUGUUCUUCUCUAGUGGAAGUCCCUCUGCUGAGCAGGGAGGCAGGCUCCUAAGGAGUGUUUUGUGCCAGGGAUUUGGUAGAUGUGGUCCCUAUGGGGCUGAUGUCAGGAGCUUUCCUUGCCAAUCUUGGUUUGGAGGCCACAAUCCUGCCUCUGAAUUCUUCUUCAGAGAAUGAGGCCAACUUUUGCCCAAAUCUGUAACCGUAGCUUGAAUAUGCUUCUCAAAGAUACAGAUUUUUAGGCUGGACCCCAAACCUUAAUCCAGGUCUGGAUCCUAGGCACAGGAGUCUACAUUUUUAAUGCCACCCCAGUUUACUCUUCUGAUGCAGGUUUUCCCUGUGCUACAUGUUGAGAAACCUUGGAGAAGGGUUUGAAAGCCCCAGAAGUUGCAGGCUUAACCUUAGAGAGUCUCAGGUCCCCGCUCUGCAGUUGCCUGUGUUUUGGGAGCAACUGCCACAACCAGGUCUCUGGAGCCCAUGCCCGCAGCUUGCUGAUCCCGAAACUGCACAUAGUACCUGCUGCACAGCAACUGCAUUCUCUGCUGAUGACAGGCGAUGAGGCCUGACUGAAUAAGCAUCUCACCUUGGCCUCGGGGGACAGCAACCACAACCUGGCCCACCAGGAAUCCUUGGCACUGGGAGGGCCCAUUGAGGAAUCACAUUAGAUGCAUAGAUUGCUUUUCAAAAUAGGAAUCUGGGUCAUGCUGAAAUCACUUUUAGAAUCAGAGCAAAAGGAAUAACAUAGGAAACAACAACAUACUUAGCAGUGUAUCUACACCUGGAGGGAGUCUGUGACUUUAUAUUGCUCCUGAGCAACAGAGGCCUGCAGGUCACUUAGACUGCUUACCCUGCCCCCACCAGAAUUUCCCUCAGUGUGAGUCUGCUGAUGAAGAGCUCUGUUUUUGUUUGAAAAUAUCUUCAUUUUACUUUGAUUCUUUAAUUACUGUAUCUUUUCUCCAGGUUUAGAAUUCUAGGUUGCUGGUAAUUUUAGCCCAUGAAGCUGUCAUCUCACUAUUUUCUGGCCUUUACUGACUGUUGUGAAGUCAGCUGUGGGCUGUCACACCUAAAAAGAUUUCGGCCUGGAAAUUUGGGAUUGUCUUGUAGUUCUUUGUGCUUCUACGAAGAUUUUUAAAUAUAUUUGGAGAAUGACUAAGAUAGUAGAAUAGGAAGACUCUGAGCUCAUCUCCUCCCAUGGGCACACCAAAAUUACCACUAUUUACUCGGCAGCUAUUGAUGAGGACAACCUGAAGACCAGCAGGAAAGAUCUACAACUAAAGAUAUAACCAAGCAGGAACCGUGAUACAGGCACUUUCCUGUCUCCUGUCUGAUGUGGUGACUCUCGUGUUAAUUAUCUCUGAUGACACACUCAGCUUUUCUCAUACUGGAGGAGAAGACAGUGGAACCAGGGCAGGAGUAUUUUACAGAUUUUACAUCACACAAGCAACCUACUUUGCUGCUCUCCUACUCAGAAAGUCAACAGGAAUUUCCUGUUUCUUUUAUCCACCAAAGGUAAACCUCAGGUACAGGGCUGGCGGUCCUCAGUGCACAUCACCUGCCCCUUGCGCAUGAGAACAGUCAACACCACACUGUGAACUUAUCAUAGAAUAGAUUUAUUUACCUGAAACCAUGUCUGUGCAAUACUUGUUACCAGCACAGAAAUAAACUGAUCUCUAUUUACAGUCUAAAGUCGAA